AUUAAAAUGAGAAAUACAUAAGAUGAUAAAUAAAAUGAAGGUGAAGGUAUUCCAGAUCUACCGAAAAGAUUUUCAGUAUCACAGAUUAUUCAUAAGAAAUUGAGAAAAGGAACAAUCAGAAGUUGCAAAAGAUGGUAUAGCCGAAUAUAAUGGAAAUAGGAAAAAUUAGUCGAAAAUAAAGGUUGAUUUAGAAAUGAAGAAAAUGAAUAUAUUUCUUAAUACAAAAUAAGUGGGAAAUGAGAAGUUAUACCAAUAAAAAGCAUUUAAAAAUUUAGGGGAUAUUGUAACCCAGUAUAAUUUUCUGACAGGUUGGACUUUGACCCUAAUGGACUUACUGGUGAACUUUUUCAAAUGUUUAAAUAAUGUCUAUCCAUGUAUCAUGAAGGACAGUAUGCUUCAAAUUGUCUUUUGAGGCAGACAUGUUCUCAGUACUAAAAGACAUUUUUAGAAGGAUUUUAUUCUCAACAGAUGCAAAAUGCAAAAUAAAAUAUUGGCAAACAAUACAGCAACAAAUAAUUUACUAUCACUCAGGAUUAUAAGGCUGGUGUUAAGCAGAACAGCCAUUAAAUCAGCAUCAAAAGAACAAAUAGUAAAAUCCAAAGUAUUAAUUACAGAUAACUUUUCAAAAAUUCAUCAUUCACCCUUGAUUUAAUUAUUUCUCUGGCAAUGAUUUAAUAGACUUCUCGGAGUCUGUUAAGUACUUAAACCAAGAACUACCAUUAUUCCUACUGGGAAAACAUAAACAUUUCUCAAGUGGAAAGUAAACAGUGUUGGCACUAUUUUUAUAUAUGGUUAAAGAGACCUGUCAUUGCAAUAAAAGCCAGCAUUCACAAAAUGAGGAAGAUAAGGAAAGUAGCAUAAAUAUUUUCUAUUAACAUGGCUUUACAACUGCUAAAACUUAUAGUAUAAAAAUGUACUAACAAAGACUAAUUCAAGAAGUUGCAGGAUACACAAUUUUUAAAAAUCUCAUUUCUACAUCUUAGCAGUGACAAACUGCAAUUUAAAAAGUGUGUUUGGUUAUUAAUAUAUAUGAGACUUUUAAAGAAAGUUAUAUAACUACAUAGAGAUAAAUUAAGAAAGAUGCCUAAAUAGAAGCAAGUUUAAAGAGCUAUAUUUUUAAACAUGAACAAACUCCCAUGGGAGCCAUGCCAGUGUAGUGGAAAAGUAGUACAUGGGGAGAUGGGGAGUUUUUUUGAAAACCAGAAUUACAGUUCUCAUUUCACUACUUACCAGUUGUAUACUCUUGGGAAAGUCACUCCUAGUAUCUAUUUCACCAUCUACAGAAGAGAAAUACUUCACAGAAUUAUUGUGGGGAUUAAGUUAGAUAAUGUGUUUUAAAAUAUAAAGCUACAUCCAAAGAAAUGCCAAUAUGUGACAUUAGUAUGAAAUUUACUACAGUUCCAUUUAACAUUCCAACUGGUUGCUGUGUGGAAUAUGGCAUAAUUGUAAUAAAUUAUUUAGGAAAGCAAGCAAAGAUGUAAGUUUUUUUAAUUUAGGGGGAAAAAAUGGGAGCCUUGCUCUCCAAAUCCUUAAAACAUGCUAUUAAGCAACCUUUCUGAAUAUUCUGUGGUGCCAAGUAGAAAGUUUAACUGAAAUUAAUAAGCCAAUGGAAAGAAAGAAAUAUUAAUAACUGCUGGUGGAAAGACUAGCUAGAUGUCAGUGUGGAAAGAUUAGAUCCACUUUACAUGUGAUAUUCCAAAUGAAUUAAAAUGUUAAGUAUAAAAAGAAAAAUACUACAAGUCUCACACCAAUAGUGGUAUAAAGGAACUUCAUGGCAAUUGGCAAGGUAGAUCAACUAAGAGAAAAAGUUUUAAAUGUGUAGUAAAUAGGAAAAAGACAAAACAAGAUGGAAUUUAAAAGAAGCUAUUUGCAUUACACAUGGAUGCACUCAGUUUUUGUAAAACUAUAUGCAUAUCCAUAAGGGUUUGUACUCUUAGGCAAAUUUAUAAAGCGAUCGUGUAUAAAUGAUAUAAAAAAUCAAUUUGAAUGGUAUUCAAAUUUCCUAAUAUUAAAAAUGCAACUUUGACUUAGUUCAUGCUAUUGUAUUAGCAAAACUGUUUUAAUUGCAUGUGUCCUUAUAGCAGCAGCAUUGUGUAUUAGUAGCCUUUUAAGAGAACUGUGUAGAAGACUAUAAAAAGGGCUUUAUAACUGAUCUUUUGACAUACUCACUUUGAGUGGCAUAUGCCCAGGAAAAUAUUUAAAAGAAAGAAAAGCUAUUUGUACAAAGUUUUCUAGCAGUUCCACUCAGAUAACUUUAAGGGGGAAAAAAGCCCAACGAUUGGAAAUGGUUAAGUAAAUUUUGGUGUAUUGCUAGUGCUAUCACAGAAUGUUAUAUAGCCAUUCAAUAAUAUUGAUAUAUGUCAAAUUGUAUGCAAAAAAGUGAGAUUCAAAAAUGUUAAUAAGAACAUAAAUUGUGUUUACUGAUACAUGUGAAAAUUUAGGUCUACAUUGAAAAGAAUCAGAAGAUAACAUGUAAUUCAGUUUAACAUUAGGGGUUCUUUAUUUUUCUUCUGUUAAAUAUUGAUGUAUGCAAUAAAAAAUAAAAGAUUAAUUGGUAAAGUGGUUUACUG
rnacentral:lncRNA from 1 species